rnacentral:rRNA from 1 species
CACUUAGUGUCUGUAUUGGUAUGAUGGUGACCUAAACCCUCACCAGAGUAACAAUUGGAGGGCAAGUCUGGUGCCAGCAGCCGCGGUAAUUCCAGCUCCAAUAGCGUAUAUAAAACUUGUUGCAGUUAAAAAGCUCGUAGUUGAAUUUCUGCGUUAUCGUUUUCGUUGCUUUCGCUUCGUUUCGAUUUCGCUUUUGGGGUUUCCCCUUUUUACUUUGAGAAAAUUAGAGUGUUUCAAGCAGACUUUUGUCUUGAAUACUUCAGCAUGGAAUAAUAGAGUAGGACUUUGGUUCUAUUUUGUUGGUUUACGAACCUUAGUAAUGGUUAAUAGGAACGGUUGGGGGCAUUCGUAUUUAACUGUCAGAGGUGAAAUUCUUAGAUUUGUUAAAGACGAACUACUGCGAAAGCAUUUGCCAAGGACGUUUUCAUUAAUCAAGAACGAAAGUUAGGGGAAUCGAAGAA